rnacentral:rRNA from 1 species
GACGAACGCUGGCGGCGUGCUUAACACAUGCAAGUCGAACGGAAAGGCCCUGCUUUUGUGGGGUGCUCGAGUGGCGAACGGGUGAGUAACACGUGAGUAACCUGCCCUUGACUUUGGGAUAACUUCAGGAAACUGGGGCUAAUACCGGAUAGGAGCUCCUGCUGCAUGGUGGGGGUUGGAAAGUUUCGGCGGUUGGGGAUGGACUCGCGGCUUAUCAGCUUGUUGGUGGGGUAGUGGCUUACCAAGGCUUUGACGGGUAGCCGGCCUGAGAGGGUGACCGGCCGGAUUGGGCAAGGGCUCCGGCGAAGCCUACAUAGGGCGGAAGUGGAGGGGAGUAUUGAACAAGGGGCGGCAGCCUACUGCAGGGACGCCGGGGGCGGGAUGUGGGCUUUGGGGUCGUAAUCCGCUUUCGCGUGUGACGAAGCGUGCGUGACCCCAAUGCGUAAAGAAGCACCGGCUAAGUCCG